UUAGAGCUGGGAGCUGCUACUG
rnacentral:misc_RNA from 1 species